AUUGAACGCUGGCGGCAGGCUUAACACAUGCAAGUCGAGCGGAGAUGAGGUGCUUGCACCUUAUCUUAGCGGCGGACGGGUGAGUAAUGCUUAGGAAUCUGCCUAUUAGUGGGGGACAACAUUCCGAAAGGAAUGCUAAUACCGCAUACGUCCUACGGGAGAAAGCAGGGGAUCUUCGGACCUUGCGCUAAUAGAUGAGCCUAAGUCGGAUUAGCUAGUUGGUGGGGUAAAGGCCUACCAAGGCGACGAUCUGUAGCGGGUCUGAGAGGAUGAUCCGCCACAAUGGGACUGAGACACGGCCCAGACUCCUACGGGAGGCAGCAGUGGGGAAUAUUGGACAAUGGGGGGAACCCUGAUCCAGCCAUGCCGCGUGUGUGAAGAAGGCCUUAUGGUUGUAAAGCACUUUAAGCGAGGAGGAGGCUACUGAGACUAAUACUCUUGGAUAGUGGACGUUACUCGCAGAAUAAGCACCGGUUAACUCUGUGCCAGCCGCCGCCGUAAGAC
rnacentral:rRNA from 1 species